rnacentral:lncRNA from 1 species
UCAGUGAAUGAGGGUGGUUGGAACAGCAAGUCAUUGAAUGAGGGUGGAUGGAACAGUGCCCCUUCUAAGUUAUUCAGGGGUUGGAAACUAUUUGCCGUGUCUCUGUUACAACAAGAACAUUCAUGAAUAUCUAUGUAGACAAUCUAUAAUAAUGUAAAAGUAUGCUUAUACAACUGAAUUGGAGUCAGUACAAUAUUAUAAACAGAAGACAAUUCUAACUGAAAAACAAAAAGAUGAUCAAAUCAGCUGAGAGGUAGAUUCUUUUGACCCUUAGUUUAGAAUAGUUUGAGAUGCACUACUUGUCAGACAGGAUAGGAAUUUCUAAUCAUUACAAGUCAGUCUUUGUUUAAAUAUUACUGUCCAUGGCAACAACAGGCAGUCGGCUAUUUCAGGCUUGGCCUUUGCCCUUUUCUGCCAAUAGUCUGACCUCUGUCUCAACUCCCACAAUGUUUGAUUGUAGAGUGAUCUGCUUAGCCCAUGUAGUCUGUCUCACAGUCCCUGAACCACAUUAUUUUCCCUACUGCCAAGCCCUAAAUAAAGCAAGUCUAGAUUUCCUCAGGUUCAGGUCCCUAGGGCUCCUUUUCAAUAUAAAUGGGCGUGUUUGUUACUGUCAAAAUUAUAUAUAUUCAGAGACUAAGCCUUAGUCUAUAGCCCAUGCUACAGGGAAACUUUUAGUUUAAUAGACAUGGAUAGGAAAUGCAAUUAUCAUUAUUCCAUUAUAAUUGUUAAUUGGCGUGUGUGUUAGAGAGAGGGAGGGAGAGAGAAGGUACCUAUUGUUUGAUCUUUGAGAGAAAGUGAGAUUAGUUUUACGCCACUUUUUAGCAAUAUUCCAGCAAUAUCACGGCAGGGGGACACCAGAAAUGGGCUUCACAUAUUGUACCCAUGUGGGGAAUCAAAUCCGGGUCUUCGGCAUGACAAGCGAACAUUUUUACCACUAGGCUACCCCCAGAGAGAGUAAUCUACUGUUAUAAUAGCUGUCAAUCACACUUGAUUACAGCUUGGGUAUCCACAAUUACUGUUAUAGUAUAGCUGGGCAUAUAGUCUAAGCAGAGGAAACAGAAGGGAAAUCAGUACCAGCAUUUGUCAGGGAUUCUGGCAACUGACAAAAUCAUCAGGAUUAGUACUUAAAUGAAUAUGAGACAUGUACAUUUGAUCUACUUUUGAAUUUGUACUUCACUAAAAGUUCUGUAAUGAACCUACUCAAAUGCAUUUGAUCUACACGUUACUGAAACUUCCUGGCUACAGGGAGUGUUUCUGUAGAGAGAUCCUGACUCGAGGGUUGUGUUGCCUGUAUUAGUAUGUUGUCCUUGAUUUUGUCCUAACAUUAGUCAUUGAAUUAGUCAUUGAAUUCCUAAGACACUACUGUCAUUAUCAGUUCAUAUUGCCAGUGAAUCUUGUAAGAGGGUUUUUUUCAUACAGGAGAGAAAUUAGUUUUGAUUUUGUUGAAAUAAAGAUGUCUUAAGAUCAAGUCGAAACAAGAACCUUACUGUUCUCAUGGCAAUAUGUUGUGAUUGUGCUGGUUGGUGUUCUUCAACCAAUGUCUCUUCUUAUUGGCACUGUUGUAUGGUAUUGCUAGACAGUUCUGACCUGAGAACGUUAUACGAUAUAUUCCGAAACAUUGAUUCAAAAGAAAAUUAAAGCAUUGUGUCUAAAUUUGCCUGUCAAACCGGUUUUGACACUGAAGAAUGCAUCAAAGGGUAUUGAUGUAAAAAGAUUGAUUUGUAUUCAGACAUACUGAAGAAAGAAAA